CAGGGUUUGAUCCUGGCUCAGGAUGAACGCUAGCUACAGGCUUAACACAUGCAAGUCGAGGGGAAACGGCAUUGAGUGCUUGCACUCUUUGGACGUCGACCGGCGCACGGGUGAGUAACGCGUAUCCAACCUUCCCAUUACUGUGGGAUAACCUGCCGAAAGGCAGACUAAUACCGCAUAGUCUUCGAUGACGGCAUCAGAUUUGAAGUAAAGAUUUAUCGGUAAUGGAUGGGGAUGCGUCUGAUUAGCUUGUUGGCGGGGUAACGGCCCACCAAGGCAACGAUCAGUAGGGGUUCUGAGAGGAAGGUCCCCCACAUUGGAACUGAGACACGGUCCAAACUCCUACGGGAGGCAGCAGUGAGGAAUAUUGGUCAAUGGACGGAAGUCUGAACCAGCCAAGUAGCGUGCAGGAUGACGGCCCUAUGGGUUGUAAACUGCUUUUGUAUGGGGAUAAAGUUAGGGACGUGUCCCUAUUUGCAGGUACCAUACGAAUAAGGACCGGCUAAUUCCGUGCCAGCAGCCGCGGUAAUACGGAAGGUCCAGGCGUUAUCCGGAUUUAUUGGGUUUAAAGGGAGCGUAGGCUGGAGAUUAAGUGUGUUGUGAAAUGUAGACGCUCAACGUCUGAAUUGCAGCGCAUACUGGUUUCCUUGAGUACGCACAACGUUGGCGGAAUUCGUCGUGUAGCGGUGAAAUGCUUAGAUAUGACGAAGAACUCCGAUUGCGAAGGCAGCUGACGGGAGCGCAACUGACGCUUAAGCUCGAAGGUGCGGGUAUCAAACAGGAUUAGAUACCCUGGUAGUCCGCACAGUAAACGAUGGAUGCCCGCUGUUGGGUAC
rnacentral:rRNA from 1 species